GGACAUAAAGGUUGGAGGAAUCACACUGCCAAUCAUGAAACAAGCUCUCUUACAAGCAAAAGAUGGUCGAAAGCACAUUCUUGCUGAGAUGUCAAAAUGCUCACCACCCCCUUCAAGAGAGCUGUCGAAAUAUGCUCCGCUCAUCCAUGUUAUGAAGGUUAAACCAGAAAAGAUAAACCUUAUAAUUGGCGCCGGUGGAAAGAAGGUGAAGAGCAUUAUUGAAGAAACUGGUGUUGAAGCUAUUGAAACACAAGAUGAUGGUGUGGUGAAAAUAACUGCAAAGGAUUUGUCAAGCCUGGAAAAGUCAAAAGCCAUCAUAAGUAAUCUAACAAUGGUUCCAACUGUUGGUGACAUAUAUAAGAACUGUGAAAUUAAAUCGGUUGCGCCUUAUGGUGUUUUUGUGGAGAUCGUGCCUGGACGAGAGGGAUUAUGCCAUAUCAGUGAGCUGAGUGCAAAUUGGCUAGCCAAGGCUGAAGAUGCUUUCAAAGUUGGAGACCGCCUGGAUGUCAAGCUCAUAGAGAUCAAUGACAAGGGGCAGCUUCGCUUAAGCCGACGUGCAUUACUUCCAGAUGCUGAGACCGAGAGACAAAGUACAAAACCACGCAGUGGUAGCCUUUCAAAUGACAAUGCAGUUUCACCAAAAAUUUCAGACAAGGGUAAAUUAAAGAAAGCUGUGACCGUCUCAAAGGAGAGUGAGAAUCCUCUGAAGGAGAAAACAGUUCCGGUCAACAUAUCAAGCCCAGUGAAAGAAGCAGACAAGAGAUCAGUAAGUCCAUAAAAAGAUGGACCAGACAAGUCCCAAUCAAAUAUAAGUGGCGGCAACAUCAGUCAAUGGAGAGUCAAAAGUUGUAUAAGAAAGCUAUAAUGAGGGAUUAAUUUAGUCUCAUUUUGAAAAUGUGGCAGGUGACUGUCCUCUCAGUUGGAUAUUAAAGAGGAUGGAGAGUUGGGAAGAAUUGAGUUAUUGGAUAGGCUGAAAUUCAGAUAGUUCUCUUUUUAUCAAAUUGAGAGGGGGGAUAUGAUUCAAGCUGACAUGAGAGUAAGCAGGUUGAUUCUGAUAUUUUCAACAGCGGAAAAAAAUGUAAAUGCAGUAAUUUUCUCGGCGACAUAUGCAUCCCUGAUCAAGAUGCAUUUUUUCGAAAGAAAGACCAGUACGAUCAGCUUGCUUAUACAUCCAUGAAGCUUUUUUUCAUCUCUGCCUGUAACCAUUCUGAAUGUGAUUGAAGUUAGUAAUUUCAAGCUGUUUUUCACUCUUUCCUUUCA
rnacentral:misc_RNA from 1 species